rnacentral:rRNA from 1 species
AGUGAAUGCUGGCGGUAGGCCUAACACAUGCAAGUCGAACGGCAGCACGGGAGAGCUUGCUCUCUGGGUGGCGAGUGGCGGACGGGUGAGGAAUACAUCGGAAUCUACUCUGUCGUGGGGGAUAACGUAGGGAAACUUACGCUAAUACCGCAUACGACCUACGGGUGAAAGCAGGGGACCUUCGGGCCUUGCGCGAUUGAAUGAGCCGAUGUCGGAUUAGCUAGUUGGCGGGGUAAAGACCCACCAAGGCGACGACCCGUAGCUGGUCUGGGAGGAUGAUCAGCCACACUGGAACUAGGACACGGUCCUGAAUCCUACGGGAGGCAGCAGUGGGGAAUAUUGGACAGUGGGCGCAAGCCUGAUCAGCCAUACCGCGUGGGUGAAGAAGGCCUUCGGGUUGUAAAGCCCUUUUGUUGGGAAAGAAAUCCAGCUGGCUAAUACCCGGUUGGGAUGACGGUACCCAAAGAAUAAGCACCGGCUAACUUCGUGCCAGCCGCCGCAGUAA